GGUGGGCUGCCGUCUGUGGGGUCGCACAGAGUCGGACACGACUGAAGCAACUUAGCAGCAGCAGCAGCAGGGCUCAGGGGCUCCUUUGAUGAGACCCCUGUGCCUUGUAAAGCAGUUUCCUUAUGCUGUUUUAUCAUAGUUCUUCUAACAGAGUGAGUUAUUAGGACAGAAAUUCUUAUCAGCGUCAGUUUUUGUUUUUGCUACAGUGGACUCACUACGGGAGGAAAAGAAACCUCACUCUCAAAGACCUUGCUCCUGAGAAAACAAGUGCCCAUGAAGGACGCCCAGGUCUCCAAGCAGCGCCUUCGACCUGCUGUGCGAGGUUUUUCAAUAAAGUAAAAAGACCACACUUUAAAGAGAUUAACAUCUUAUAGAAGUGACCGCACACAGGAGCGCUCCUACUCUGCUCGUCCCUGCAGACCUGGGCGGGGGUGGCAGCAGCUGCAGCGGCCCAGCCCUGCAAGCGCCGGCAGCUGGGCAGCGAGGAUCCACGCUGGAGCAUGUGGCCUGUUGCGGUCACCCUAUGUGUGGCCCUUCUCAUCAGAUGGGCCAUAAAGACCUGCUGUUUUGAGGAGGGUUUUGACAGACCUGUGGAUGAAAUAUCCUAAAAGAGUGACUUCUUGGUGAAGUUCUUUGCUGAUUCCCCAUAAACCUCGAAUUUUUGAAAGAGGAAGUUUACCCAAUAAAUUUCUCUAUGGAAAAUUA